rnacentral:lncRNA from 1 species
UUGGAGAUAAUGUAACAUAUUAUAUUUAAAGAUAUCAAAUUACAUAAUAACAAAUUAUUAAAUUCUGGGUCUCAUUCCACUAAUUUAGAAUUUUUCCUUUUCCUUUCUCUCUUCUCUCUCCCUUGACAACAACCCACCACCAUCAACAUUAUUUCCCCUCUCCCUAUCCUUCAUCCUCCCAAUUGCUUAACCGCUCCACCAUAAUUAUUCCCUCAACAUUAUAAGCUUCCUCAGCUCUGCCACCACUCUUCAUAAAAUGUUAGCAACAUAGCAACUUAGAAAGCCAUAAAGAUUGGAAUAGAUGAAGCAUAAGAAAAGGAAGGACAAAGAUAGAAAGAGAGACUGAAAUGUUAGUUGGAUGGUGUGAAAUUAUAGUUUAGAGGGUGUUAGGAAUUGGUGGGUUACGGUUGAGGGAGAGAAGAGAGAAAGGGAAAAAUCUGAAUUGGUUGAUCGAGACUCACAAUGUAAUGAUAAGUUGAGAUAUAAUUUG